CUAGACAAGGUAUCCCUCUGAGGAAUCACACCAUCCAACAGGCCUAGAAUUACACGAAUGGAAGCCAGGUUCCAGCAAGGACUCAUUCUCGGAGUCCAGACAGCCUGAUGUUACCUUCUCCGCUGAUGCUGGGGUCUGUCUUAGUCAAGGUUUCUAUUCCUGCACAAACAUCAUGACCAAGAAGCAAGUUGGGGAGGAAAGGGUUUAUUCGACUUACACUUCCAUACUGCUGUUCAUCACCAAGGAAGUCAGGACUGGAACUCAAGCAGGUCAGGAAGCAGGAGCUGAUGCAGAGGCCAUGGAGGGGUGUUUCUUACUGAACUGUUUCCCCUGACUUGCUCAGCCUGCUCUCUUAUAGAACCAAGACUACCAGCCCAGAGAUGGUACCACCCACAAGAGGCCCUCCCACCUUGAUCACUAAUUGAGAAAAUGCCCCACAGCUGGAUCUCCUGAAGGCAUUUCCCCAACUGAAACUCCUUUCUCUGUGAUAACUCCAGCCUGUGUCAAGUUGACACAAAACUGGCCAGUACAGGGUAACCACAUGUGGAACUAUAUUAAAAGGUCACAGUAUUAGGAAGGUUGAGAUCCACUGCCCAAAGGAUUAAAAUUUUUAAAGAUAAAAUAGGAAACAUUCUUUAAUUAAAAUAUGAAACUGGGGGGGGGGGCUGCCUUGUCUAGCCUCAAUAGGAGAAGAUACACCUAGUCCUCCUGCAAUUUGAUCUGCCAAGGGAGUUGAUAUCCACAGCAGGCCUCCCCUUCACUGAGGAGAAAGGGAGAGGGUACUGGGGAGAAGAGAAGUGAGGCAGAGGGACUGGGAGAGAAGAGGGAGAGAAAGCUAUGAUUGGGAUGUAAAGUAAAUAUUAAUUAAUGAAAAAUGUAAGUAAACCAUAAAAAACUAAUAAAAUUGGUAAUUCAUUACGAUAAAGAACUCUUUUAAAACUC
ensembl:lincRNA